GGCUACUCUAACCUGGUCUUACCUAAUUUUGUUAAGACUUUGGCAGAUGAGUGUGAUCAUUGCCCUGGCCUCCUGUGGGUUAGAGUUUAGUUGGAAUAUUACUAAAAGUUCUUGUUACUAUUUACUCUUAAAGCGUCUAACAAAUGUAUUAUCUAAAAAUAAAAGUAUUCUUAGAUCCCUGUAUACUCUACAAAUAGAGUUGAUGGAUAUAUCCUUCUUUGUGUUUCUUUCAGACCCUUGGUAAAACCCUACUGGGCUAUUUGCUUCUUUUACACAUAUAGUUCAGCACAGAAUUAAAAGAAGGUGAAGCCUAUAUAUAUCAUGGCCCAGCUUCUAGCUCGCCUCUGGCCUUGCUGGUUCUUAUUAAUGAUUCAUUUCUUUUGACAGGAGCGGCAACAUUUCAGGACUUCUUGGGUGGAAGAAAGUUGGCAGAGAGAAAGUCCACGACAAAGGUAGAACCACUGUGAGACGCUCAUGAAUGAAGAAGUGCCAUCCACAUCUGAAAAGGCAUUUCUUCAGGCUCCAGAUUCAAUGGAAAGCUCUCUCUUUGAAGCCUGUUCCCUCCCCACUUUGAGGUUAAUGAAGUUAGUGUUGUCUCCAGGAUUAAGAAAACAUGCUUCCUCUAAUAAAUCAAAGAUCAUCAGCUCUCCAUGGAGAUAUUGCUGCUAUGAUGCUUAGGACAGAGAAGAAGAGACACAGAGAGACCGAGGGGGAGACACACGCACAGAGAGAGAGAGACAGACACACAGAGAGAGAGAGAGAGGAUAUUGCAAUGAAAGAGAACUUCGGGAAGAAUCCAGAUUUCAGUGUUGCAAAGUUUUAUUCCAUUUGGACAGCCUGCGCUUCAAUAAAUAAGAUGUUGUGAAGAGAGGGUGGUCAAUGUGUUUGAAAGAAAAACACUGAAGGGUGCGACUCAGCUUUCCCUGGCUUUUUAACAGCCAUGAACGGCUUGAUAUUUUGGCUUGGAUAUAUAUGUGAAUGUGUGUGUGUGAGAGAGUAUUUUUUUCUUUUUAAAAAUAUGAGGUAUUAGGCUCUCUCCCAAAGCACAUUCAAGGGAGGCUGCCUGUAAGCCACACUCCUCUAUUAGGGCAAUGUGUCUUGCAAAAAAGGAAAGUUAAAAAAAAAAAAAAAAAAAAAAAGAGGAAGGAAGGAGACUCCCUCCCUUAUGACACACUCACCUACAUCCUGAUGGCAUUAGCUCCUUAUUGUUCCCUGUCUAGCUCACUUUCUAGGUCUCUCUAUAUAGGGUGCUUAUGUUCAGAAUGCUCACGUCUCAGCCAGUAGCUUCAUUCCAUUGCGAAAACCUCAAACAUGGUACAGUUAAUGGACCCAGGUCAAAAGAGAAGGAACACGAGGCUGGAAGACAGACUCAGAACCCACAUAGUGCUCAAUUUGCUUUGUCAUCUGCCUAAUGGCCCGAGUUUGAAUCUUCGCUGUGCCUGACACUGGCUCAACUAUUCGUUUUACAUUUCCUCACUGGUUAAAUGAGAAUUCCAAUAGAAUCUGUUCAGUAGAGUCGUGGCAAAGACUAAAUGAAAUAAUAACUUGCUAAACUCUUCAAAAGUACUCGAUGCAAAUUCGUGCUGAAAAACAUCUGCUCUUGUUGGUAAAUAUUACUUGUUACUAAUCAUUAUUAUCAUCACAAUUACUACCGUCAGUGUUUCUGACGCUCUUCAGGGGCUGGUUGCUAGAGAACGGAGUAACGAUUUCACACCAAGACCAUAUCACAUUGUUGUUUUCCAUCUUGGAAAGGCCACAUCUAAGCCCAAUCACCCAGAAUCCCUGUAGUAUUUUGCCAGAUUCCCUAGAUGUCAGUGUUCAAAGAAGGAACUGGGCAGCCUUUAACACAUUUUCUGCUUUCAGUGAAUUAAUAUUCAGUCUGGUUAUGGAGGAAGCCCUCAACUGAGAUUUUGACGCAAUUUUAAUGAAAUCUGUGCUUAAGAUAAACUUAGCUAAUUAGUACCCAUCUUGGCUGCAGUAGCUAAAUUUUGGCUGUCGAAGGAACUGUAUAUUUGCACAAAUAGGAGUCUUGAUGAGCCCCCCGCAGAAGAACACAAGAAAAUUAAUAAUUUGAGUUGAAGAUAUGAUAGUAAUAAGAGGGAUCUGUCUUUAUUAAAUUCAGUUAUUCUAACAUAAUAACGGAAAGUCAGCAGAACGACCUAGGCAGCAAUAUCUUAACCAGGUUUGUCUAAAGAAUACAAAUAUUAAAGAUUUGCCUCCUAUCUCAUCCUUCGGUAAUAUGAAUUUUAAUGGAAAUCUAAUAUAUGAUAAUUCUUCUCUUAUCCUUCACUGGCCCAGGACCCUCAGGCCAUAAUUGAACUAACCAAGACCAGCAUUUUGUUUCUCUGCUUGCUUCCAAGGCAGUGUCCUUGGUUUCUCUUAACUCUACGCUGUCUUCUCAGUUCAGCUGUUUUACAAGCAAAAUCGUGAUUCGAUACAGACGUCUCCACUCAGAAGUUGCUCUUCCUGAGUUUCCAUGUGUACACGCACAGGACUUUGUAGUACCCAUAGCGCCUUAUCUGAGCAAAUGAUCGAUUGUAAGAGUGGGAGUACCUAACACCAAUUUGAAAAUAAAAAAUGAUGUUUGCUGCA
ensembl:lncRNA